rnacentral:rRNA from 1 species
UACGUAGGGUGCGAGCGUUGUCCGGAAUUACUGGGCGUAAAGAGCUCGUAGGUGGUUUGUCGCGUUGUCCGUGAAAACUCACAACUCAAUUGUGGGCGUGCGGGCGAUACGGGCAGACUGGAGUACUGCAGGGGAGACUGGAAUUCCAGGUGUAGCGGUGAAAUGCGUAGAUAUCUGGAGGAACACCGGUGGCGAAGGCGGCAUUCUGGACCGAUAUUGACGCUGAGGAGCGAAAGCCAGGGGAGCAAACGGG